rnacentral:rRNA from 1 species
UACGGGGGGGGCAAGCGUUGUUCGGAAUUACUGGGCGUAAAGGGCUCGUAGGCGGCCAACUAAGUCCGACGUGAAAUCCCCAGGCUUAACCUGGGAACUGCGUCUGAUACUGGAUGGCUUGAGUGCAGGAGAGGAACGCGGAAUUCCAGGUGUAGCGGUGAAAUGCGUAGAUAUCUGGAGGAACACCGGUGGCGAAGGCGGCGUUCUGGACUGCAACUGACACUGAGGAACGAAAGCCAGGGGAGCAAACGGG